AGUGAACGCUGGCGGUAGACCUAACACAUGCAAGUCGAACGGCAGCACAGAGGAGCUUGCUCCUUGGGUGGCGAGUGGCGGACGGGUGAGGAAUACAUCGGAAUCUACUCUGUCGUGGGGGAUAACGUAGGGAAACUUACGCUAAUACCGCAUACGACCUACGGGUGAAAGCAGGGGAUCUUCGGACCUUGCGCGAUUGAAUGAGCCGAUGUCGGAUUAGCUAGUUGGCGGGGUAAAGGCCCACCAAGGCGACGAUCCGUAGCUGGUCUGGGAGGAUGAUCAGCCACACUGGAACUGAGACACGGUCCAGACUCCUACGGGAGGCAGCAGUGGGGAAUAUUGGACAAUGGGCGCAAGCCUGAUCCAGCCAUACCGCGUGGGUGAAGAAGGCCUUCGGGUUGUAAAGCCCUUUUGUUGGGAAAGAAAUCCAUCUGGUUAAUACCCGGGAGGGAUGACGGUACCCAAAGAAUAAGCACCGGCUAACUUCGUGCCAGCCGCCGCUGUAA
rnacentral:rRNA from 1 species